GAUGAAGAACGUAGCGAAAUGCGAUAAGUAAUGCGAAUUGCAGAAUUCCGUGAGUCAUCGAAUCUUUGAACGCACAUUGCGCCCUCUGGUAUUCCGGAGGGCAUGCCUGUCUGAGCGUCAUUGUCAACCCUCAAGCUCAGCUUGCUGUUGGGUCCCCGUCGUUGCUUUAACGGCGGACCCGAAAGGUAAUGGCAGAGUCCGUGAGACCCUAGACGCAGCGAGCUUCUAGCACGCGUCUGGACGUUUUUCGGGCUCGGUCUUAACUAGAUGAUAACUUCCGAUUGACCUCAGAUCAGGUAGGGAUACCCGCUGAACUUAAGCAUAUCAUAAGCGGAGGA
rnacentral:misc_RNA from 1 species